UAUGUGAAACUUUGUGGGGCAGGCUGAAAAGGCGAAUUACCUUCUCGCUUGUGUGCAAACCCAUCGGAGAUCCGCGACCUACGAAAAAGGCGGCGAUGGGAGAGAAGUCCGAUUCGUCGCCAUUAGGGUUCCUACGGAGGCACUUUGAGGAGGUGAAAAAGCACUGGAAGAGCAGCCUCGCCUUCUCGGAUUUCUAGCUUAAAGACUUUGGUGGCGCAAUGAAUCUCUCCCCAAGCGGUCCGAUGCUGAUGUCGAGGAGUUUAUCGCCUCUGAUCCGAUUAAUGGCCCGCAGCUCACGCCGAAGUUAAGCUCCACAAGCUGCAGCUAUGGACUUCAGUUGGCCGGAGCCAGAACCGGCCACUGACUAUGUUGGCCGACGACCUCUUCUGACAACUGUGCGUCACAGCGACCUGCUGCAACGCCAGACGUACCUGCGCAGCUACCAGUUCACUGUGAGGGAGACCUUCAAGGGCAGGGUUCGCCGGAACUUGAAGGAGGCCAGCAAGGUAGGGAAGGCGAUCGUGGCGGAGAUCAUCGGCCGGGUAUUCGACGCUGGGUUGAAGUUGCACAAGAUGAAUCCGUUGAGGUGCUUCAGGCCCUGCCGCAAGAAGUUCUACUUGGAAGAUACGAACUUUCCUUGCUGAUGCUUUAAAUGAAUACAUCAAUAGUUGUCGAGUGCAUGCGUGCACUUGGUUCAUGUUUUAUGUUGUGUUUUAUUCUGGUGUUCGAAAAUUAACUGAUCUUAAUUAAGCCUCCGUUUCUUUAGUAUAAAUUAAAUAUUCUUGAGGAACAGAGGUUUUUGUUUGUAAGAAGUAGAUGGUCUUUCUUUGGUUCGGCUUA